rnacentral:rRNA from 1 species
CAGCCGCCACGGUAAUACGUAGGUGGCAAGCGUUGUCCGGAAUUAUUGGGCGUAAAGGGCUCGCAGGCGGUUUCUUAAGUCUGAUGUGAAAGCCCCCGGCUCAACCGGGGAGGGUCAUCGGAAACUGGGAAACUUGAGUGCAGAAGAGGAGAGUGGAAUUCCACGUGUAGCGGUGAAAUGCGUAGAGAUGUGGAGGAACACCAGUGGCGAAGGCGACUCUCUGGUCUGUAACUGACGCUGAGGAGCGAAAGCGUGGGGAGCGAACAGGAUUAGAGACCCCUGUAGUCCCUGUCUCUUAUAC